rnacentral:rRNA from 1 species
GUGCCAGCAGCCGCGGUAAUUCCAGCUCCAAUAGCGUAUAUUAAAGUUGUUGCGGUUAAAAAGCUCGUAGUUGGAUCUCGGCGAACAGGGGNCGGUUCGUUAUUUGACGGUACUGCCCCAUUUGUUCGUAUUUUUGCAAGAGGNUUGGGGGUCCCCUUCAUUGGGUGUCUCCGGUCGCUUGCAGGUUUACUUUGAAAAAAUUAGAGUGCUCAAAGCAGGCUUACACGCUUGAAUAUUCGUGCAUGGAAUAAUAGAAUAGGAAGUCGUUUCUAUUUUGUUGGUUUUCGGAAAAUGACUUAAUGAUUAAUAGGGACAAUCGGGGGCAUUAGUAUUCAAACGACAGAGGUGAAAUUCUUGGACCGUUUGAAGACUAACUACUGCGAAAGCAUUUGCCAAGAGUGUUUUCAUUAAUCAAGAACGAAAGUUAGAGGUUCGAAGGCGAUCAGAUACCGCCCUAGUUCUAACCAUAAACGAUGCCAGCUAGCGAUCUGCGGGUGUGUAAAAACAAGACCCCGCAGGGAGCUUCCGGGAAACCAAAGCUUGUGGGUUCCGGGGGAAGUAUGGUUGCAAAGCUGAAACUUAAAGGAAUUGACGGAAGGGCACCACCAGGAGUGGAGCCUGCGGCUUAAUUUGACUCAACACGGGAAAUCUCACCAGGCCCGGACACCGGAAGGAUUGACAGAUUGAGAGCUCUUUCUCGAUUCGGUGGGUGGUGGUGCAUGGCCGUUCUUAGUUGGUGGAGUGAUUUGUCUGGUUAAUUCCGAUAACGAACGAGACUCUGUCCUGCUAAAUAGUAAGCUGAUUACUUUGUCAGCUUGUCUUCUUAGAGGGACUGGCGGAUUUAAACCGCACGAGAUUGAGCAAUAACAGGUCUGUGAUGCCC